AUGAACGCUGGCGGCGUGCCUCAUCCAUGCAAGUCGAGCGAACAGACGAGGAGCUUGCUCCUCUGACGUUAGCGGCGGACGGGUGGGUAACACGUGGAUAACCUACCUAUAAGACUGGGAUAACUUCGGGAAACCGGAGCUAAUACCGGAUAAUAUAUUGAACCGCAUGGUUCAAUAGUGAAAGACGGUUUUGCUGUCACUUAUAGAUGGAUCCGCGCCGCAUUAGCUAGUUGGUAAGGUAACGGCUUACCAAGGCAACGAUGCGUAGCCGACCUGAGAGGGUGAUCGGCCACACUGGAACUGAGACACGGUCCAGACUCCUACGGGAGGCAGCAGUAGGGAAUCUUCCGCAAUGGGCGAAAGCCUGACGGAGCAACGCCGCGUGAGUGAUGAAGGUCUUCGGAUCGUAAAACUCUGUUAUUAGGGAAGAACAAAUGUGUAAGUAACUAUGCACGUCUUGACGGUACCUAAUCAGAAAGCCACGGCUAACUACGUG
rnacentral:rRNA from 1 species